rnacentral:rRNA from 1 species
CGUCGCAUUAGCUAGUUGGUGAGGUAACGGCUCACCAAGGCAACGAUGCGUAGCCGACCUGAGAGGGUGAUCGGCCACACUGGGACUGAGACACGGCCCAGACUCUACGGGAGGCAGCAGUAGGGAAUCUUCCGCAAUGGACGAAAGUCUGACGGAGCAACGCCGCGUGAGUGAUGAAGGCUUUCGGGUCGUAAAACUCUGUUGUUAGGGAAGAACAAGUGCUAGUUGAAUAAGCUGGCACCUUGACGGUACCUAACCAGAAAGCCACGGCUAACUACGUGCCAGCAGCCGCGGUAAUACGUAGGUGGCAAGCGUUAUCCGGAAUUAUUGGGCGUAAAGCGCGCGCAGGUGGUUUCUUAAGUCUGAUGUGAAAGCCCACGGCUCAACCGUGGAGGGUCAUUGGAAACUGGGAGACUUGAGUGCAGAAGAGGAAAGUGGAAUUCCAUGUGUAGCGGUGAAAUGCGUAGAGAUAUGGAGGAACACCAGUGGCGAAGGCGACUUUCUGGUCUGUAACUGACACUGAGGCGCGAAAGCGUGGGGAGCAAACAGGAUUAGAUACCCUGGUAGUCCACGCCGUAAACGAUGAGUGCUAAGUGUUAGAGGGUUUCCGCCCUUUAGUGCUGAAGUAACGCAUUAAGCACGCCGC